rnacentral:rRNA from 1 species
AUAAGAUAUCAAGGGCAACAGGUGAAUGCCUUGGCGCUGAGAGGCGAUGAAAGACGCGGUAAGCUGCGAUAAGCAUCGGGGAGGAGCUAAACAUCCUACGAUCCGAUGAUUUCUGAAUGGGGAAACCCGAUGGGAGUCAUGUCCCAUCAUCCUGAGCUGAAUAUAUAGGCCCAGAGAAGCCAACCCGGGGAAGUGAAACAUCUCAGUACCCGGAGGAAGAGAAAUCAAACGAGACUCCCAAAGUAGCGGCGAGCGAAAUGGGAAGAGCCCAAACCGAGUGGUUUCGACCAUUCGGGGUUGUAGGGCCGGCAUACGCGAUUCUGGAGUAGGCAGAGGAAGUGAGCUGGAAAGCUCCGCCACAGCGGGUGAUAGCCCCGUACUCGAAACCGAAAAGGACGCAGCCGGUACCUGAGUACUGCGAGGCACGUGGAACCUCGUGGGAAUCUAGGGGGACCAUCCUCUAAGGCUAAGUACUCCUCAGCGACCGAUAGUGAACUAGUACCGUGAGGGAAAGGUGAAAAGAACCCCUGUUAGGGGAGUGAAAUAGAAUCUGAAACCUGUUGCCUACAAGCUGCGAGAGCUACUUCGGUAGUGAUCGCGUGCCUUUUGUAUAAUGAGUCAGCGAGUUACUCUACCGUGCGAGGUUAAGCGAAAGCGUAGCCGUAGUGAAAGCGAGGCUUAAUAGGCCGACUAGUACGUUGGAGUAGACCCGAAACCGGGUGAUCUAUCCAUGAGCAGGUUGAAGCAAGGGUAAAGCCUUGUGGAGGACCGAACCGUCAACGGCUGAAAACGUUCCGGAUGACUUGUGGAUAGGGGUGAAAGGUCAAUCAAACCCGGUGAUAGCUGGUUCUCCCCGAAAUAUAUUGAGGUAUAGCCUCGGGAAUUGAUUAGCGGAGGUAAAGCACUGACAGAGCUAGGGGUCCUACCAGAUUACCAAACUCUAUCAAACUCAGAAUGCCGCUUAAUUGUAUCCCGGGAGUCAGACGGCGGGUGCGAAGGUUCGUCGUCAAAAGGGAAACAGCCCAGACCAACAGCUAAGGUCUCCAAAUCCAUGCUCAGUGGUGAAGGUAGUGGAACCGUUUAGACAGCCAGGACGUUGGCUUAGAAGCAGCCAUCGUUUAAAGAAAGCGUAAUAGCUCACUGGUCUAAUGGCUCUGCGCCGAAAAUGUAACGGGGCUAAGCAUGGUACCGAAGCUUUGGCAAUCUCCUUUGGAGAUUGGGUAGGGGAGCGUUCGCUGCGGGCUGAAGGUGUAUCGGAAGGUAUGCUGGACUGCAGUGAAGUGAUUAUGCUGACAUGAGUAACGAUAAAAUAUGUGAAAAACAUAUUCGCCGAAAACCCGAGGUUUCCUGGGUAAAGGUAAUCUUCCCAGGGUUAGUCGGAUCCUAAGGUGAGGGUGAAAGCCGUAACCGAUGGAAAACAGGUUAAUAUUCCUGUACUUGUUGUGUAGCGCGAUGGAGGGACGCAGGAAGAUAGGCGGGCCGGGUGUUGGAUAUCCCGGUGCAAGCGUGUAGGAAUAUCCGGUAGGCAAAUCCGCCGGACGAAUCUGAGACGCGAGUCCGUGGGCGCAAGCCCUGAAGCCGUUGAGUCUAUGCUGCCUAGAAAAGCUCCUAAGUUUAUCCACAGCAAUCCGUACCGCAAACCAACUCAGGUGGGUGGGAUGAACAAUCCAAGGCGCUCGAGAGAACUCUGGCCAAGGAACUCGGCAAAAUAACCCCGUAACUUCGGAAGAAGGGGUGCUCUCUAGGGUGACAUGUUUAACAUAUGAAGCCCCGGGGAGCCGCAGUGAAUUGGUGGUGGCGACUGUUUACUAAAAACAUAGGUCUGUGCGAAGUCCUAAAGACGACGUAUACGGACUGACGCCUGCCCGGUGCUGGAAGGUUAAAAGGAGGGGUCAGCGCAAGCAAAGCUCCGAAUUGAAGCCCCAGUAAACGGCGGCCGUAACUAUAACGGUCCUAAGGUAGCGAAAUUCCUUGUCGGGUA